rnacentral:rRNA from 1 species
CCUACGGGAGGCUGCAGUGAGGAAUAUUGGUCAAUGGGCGGACGCCUGAACCAGCCAAGUCGCGUGAGGGAAUAAUGCCCUACGGGUUGUAAACCUCUUUUGCCGGGGAGCAAGGGCCGGGACGCGUCGCGGCCCGGAGAGUACCCGGAGAAAAAGCAUCGGCUAACUCCGUGCCAGCAGCCGCGGUAAUACGGAGGAUGCGAGCGUUAUCCGGAUUUAUUGGGUUGAAAGGGUGCGUAGGCGGGCUUUUAAGUCAGCGGUAAAAAUGCGGGGCUCAACCCCGUCCGGCCGUUGAAACUGGGGGCCUUGAGUGGGCGAGAAGGAGGCGGAAUGCGUGGUGUAGCGGUGAAAUGCAUAGAUAUCACGCAGAACCCCGAUUGCGAAGGCAGCAUUCCGGCGCCCUACUGACGCUGAGGCACGAAAGUGCGGGGAUCGAACAGGAUUAGAUACCCUUGUAGUC